UCAAACUUGGUCAUUUAGAGGAAGUAAAAGUCGUAACAAGGUUUCCGUAGGUGAACCUGCGGAAGGAUCAUUACCGAGUUAGGGUCGCCCCCGCGCGCCCGACCUCCAACCCUUUGUCUACCUGACCUUUUUGUUGCUUCGGCAGGCCCGCCGCCCCCCCGGGGGCGGCCGCCGGGGGCCCUCACACCCUGGGCCCGCGCCUGUCGACGGCCCCAACCACAAACUCUUGUACCUAAACGUGUCGUCUGAGUUAAACAAACAAAAUUAAAACAAAACUUUCAACAACGGAUCUCUUGGUUCUGGCAUCGAUGAAGAACGCAGC
rnacentral:misc_RNA from 1 species